GACGAACGCUGGCGGCGUGCUUAACACAUGCAAGUCGAACGGAAAGGCCCUGCUUUUGUGGGGUGCUCGAGUGGCGAACGGGUGAGUAACACGUGAGUAACCUGCCCUUGACUUUGGGAUAACUUCAGGAAACUGGGGGUAAUACCGGAUAGGAGCUCCGGCUGCAUGGUGGGGGUUGGAAAGUUUCGGCGGUUGGGGAUGGACUCGCGGCUUAUCAGCUUGUUGGUGGGGUAGUGGCUUACCAAGGCUUUGACGGGUAGCCGGCCUGAGAGGGUGACCGGCCACAUUGGGACUGAGCUACGGCCCAGACUCCUACGGGAGGCAGCAGUGGGGAAUAUUGCACGAUGGGCGGAAGCCUGAUGCAGCAACGCCGCGUGCGGGAUGACGGCCUUCGGGUUGUAACCCGCUUUCGCCUGUGACGAAGCGUGAGUGACGGUAAUGGGUAAAGAAGCACCGGCUAACUACGUG
rnacentral:rRNA from 1 species